GACGAACGCUGGCGGCGUGCUUAACACAUGCAAGUCGAACGGAAAGGCCCUGCUUUUGUGGGGUGCUCGAUUGGCGAACGGGUGAGUAACACGUGAGUAACCUGCCCUUGACUUUGGGAUAACUUCAGGAAACUGGGGCUAAUACCGGAUAGGAGCUCCUGCUGCAUGGUGGGGGUUGGAAAGUUUCGGCGGUUGGGGAUGGACUCGCGGCUUAUCAGCUUGUUGGUGGGGUAGUGGCUUACCAAGGCUUUGACGGGUAGCCGGCCUGAGAGGGUGACCGGCGACAUUGGGACUGAGAUACGGCGCAGAAUCCUACGGGAGGCAGCAGUGGGGAGUAUUGCACAAUGGGCGGAAGCCUGAUGCAGCAGCGCCGCGUGCGGGAUGACGGGCUUCGGGGUGUAAACCGCUUUCGCCUGUGACGAAGCGUGAGUGACGGUAAUGGGUAAAGAAGCACCGGCUAACUACGUG
rnacentral:rRNA from 1 species